CAGCAGCCGCGGGAAUACGUAGGUGGCAAGCGUUGUCCGGAAUUAUUGGGCGUAAAGGGCUCGCAGGCGGUUUCUUAAGUCUGAUGUGAAAGCCCCCGGCUCAACCGGGGAGGGUCAUUGGAAACUGGGAAACUUGAGUGCAGAAGAGGAGAGUGGAAUUCCACGUGUAACGGUGAAAUGCGUAGAGAUGUGGAGGAACACCAGUGGCGAAGGCGACUCUCUGGUCUGUAACUGACGCUGAGGAGCGAAAGCGUGGGGAGCGAACAGGAUUAGAUACCCGCGUAGUCCCUGUCUCUUAUAC
rnacentral:rRNA from 1 species